GCACCCGUAGCUCAGCUGGAUAGAGCGUUUGCCUCCGAAGCAAAAGGUCGCCUGUUCGAAUCAGGCCGGGUGCACCA
rnacentral:tRNA from 1 species